rnacentral:rRNA from 1 species
AUUGAACGCUGGCGGCAGGCCUAACACAUGCAAGUCGAGCGAGAGGCGGACGGGUGAGUAAUGUAUGGGGAUCUGCCCGAUAGAGGGGGAUAACUACUGGAAACGGUGGCUAAUACCGCAUACGAUCGGAUGAACCCAUAUGGGAUUAGCUAGUAGGUGGGGUAAAGGCUCACCUAGGCGACGAUCGCGAGCUGGUCUGAGAGGAUGACCAGCCACACUGGGACGGAGACACGGCCCAGACUCCUGCGGGAGGCAGCAGUGGGGAAUAUUGCACAAGGGGCGCAAGCCUGAGGCAGCCAUGCCGCGGGUAUGAAGAAGGCCUUAGGGUUGUAAAGUACUUUCAGCGGGGAGGCGUUACCCGCAGAAGAAGCACCGGCUAACUUCGUGCCAGCAGCCGCGGUAAUUC